AAGGUUGUGCUAAUUGCCGGCGAUGACAGCUGCGAUGCCACGUUUAUCCUUUUUGGGAGGAUUGCACAUCGUCUUAUCAGAAGGCCGGUCGAAUCUCUGAUUGAAGACAAUCCACCAAACAGUGAAUACAUUCCAAGUGAAAUCGCAGCACUUAUUGAUGGCAAGUUUGUAUGGAAUGUCAGCUUCACGCGUAAUACUGUGAAACGAAGUCAGGAAUCACUUCAGGUCAACAGCAUUGUGUCCACUGCCUCCUCAGGUCACAGCCUGCUGCUCAUGCCCCCAGAUACUUCACAGGCAACAUCAGCUAUUGUAUCAGCAGGCUCAAGUAGCUCAGUUCAAAUAGCACCACCAGUAAGUGAAACAAGCACUGGAUCACACCAAGCUAUUGAGCCAGGCCACAAUGCUUCGACCCCAACAAAGCUAGCUAUCGGUUCCACAACACAUGACACGCCAACUAGCAAACCAUGCCAUUCAACACCAAGCAAGAAAAACAUAGUUGUUUCGAUGUGCCAUGUGCAAUCUGCCAGCCCUAGCCUUCCCACUGAUACUAAGGCUGAUGCAAAGGUUGAAGAGGACACCUCACAGCAUGCUUCUUCUACACCUCUUGUGGCUCACUCUGCUGAACAUAAGGAAAAACAGCCAGCCAAACAUGAAGAGAACAUCCCACAGACUAGCCCAUCAUCGCUUGCAAGCGCAAUAGCAAAGAAAAGAUCCAAACCUACAGUCGUAGCUCCAGCUUCUAAGAAACUCUUCAAGGACACUGCUGAAUAAUAGCAGGAUAUCAGACUGGACGCCCCUUCUACAUGCAGCUCAUCACCAGGUCUUUUGCUUUUCUAUAUAGAUGUAAGAUAUUAGCCCAGCCAAAUAGCAGAAGGAAGUCCCUAGCUUAGUUAGGGCUUAAAAUCAGACUCUUUUGUUCAUGGCUUUCGGCCCUGGUUAUUAUUGUAAGACCUGUUGCCUAUGUUUAUGCCUGUUGGUGUUCUAUAUUGUAAGCUACUCUAGCAACAAUA